rnacentral:rRNA from 1 species
GACGAACGCUGGCGGCGUGCCUAAUACAUGCAAGUCGAGCGGACAGACGGGAGCUUGCUCCCUGAUGUUAGCGGCGGACGGGUGAGUAACACGUGGGUAACCUGCCUGUAAGACUGGGAUAACUCCGGGAAACCGGGGCUAAUACCGGAUGGUUGUCUGAACCGCAUGGUUCAGACAUAAAAGGUGGCUUCGGCUACCACUUACAGAUGGACCCGCGGCGCAUUAGCUAGUUGGUGAGGUACCGGCGCACCAAGGCAAGGAUGCGUAGCCGACCGGAGAGGAUGAUCGGCCGCCCUGGGAGGGAGACACGGCCCAGACGCCUACGGGAGGGAGCAGUAGGGAAUCUUCCGCAAUGGGCGAAAGUCUGACGGAGCAACGCCGCGGGAGGGAGGAAGGUUUUCGGAUCGUAAAGCUCUGUUGUUAGGGAAGAACAAGUGCCGUUCAAAUAGGGCGGCACCUUGACGGUACCUAACCAGAAAGCCACGGCUAACUACGUG